rnacentral:rRNA from 1 species
UACGAAGGGGGCGAGCGUUGUUCGGAUUUACUGGGCGUAAAGGGCGCGCAGGCGGCUUUGUUUGUCAGGCGUGAAAGCCCCGGGCUUAACCUGGGAACUGCGUUUGAUACGGCAGGGCUAGAGUUCGGGAGAGGAGAGUGGAAUUCCCAGUGUAGAGGUGAAAUUCGUAGAUAUUGGGAAGAACACCGGUGGCGAAGGCGGCUCUCUGGACCAAUACUGACGCUGAGGCGCGAAAGCGUGGGGAGCAAACAGG